CGUUCGCGCUCUCCCCUCACUCUUGUGUCCAAAAGCAAAGAUCCAUGUGUCUGCUCUUCUCUCUGUCUGGCCAUUGAACUGGGACAAAACGCAAUGGCGUGCUCACCGUCACUGGAUUCAGGCAUUAUGCGUGUUAGGCACCAUUAGCCAGAGUGCUGCAUGUGGAAAGGGGACCCCUGUCUCCCACACUGUCAACUCAUACUUACCUGGCAGGGGCGAUACCAUGAUCACGAAGGUGGUUCACCCAGGGCGAGGCUCAGCCAUUGCACUGCGGUUGCGCUGACCCCUGUGAAUUCCCCAAAUGCGGGAAUCUCAACUGCAUAAUUUGUGGUAGUGGGGGACUGCGUUCGCGCUCUCCCCUCACUCUUGUGUCCAAUAGCAAAUGUAGACGGAGGGGCUACUCGCUUUUCCUUUCUCUUUCGCCCCCACUUGCGCUACUGCUUUCUCUCUCUCUCGCUCUCCUGUGCUUGCUCCCGCUGCGCGCUUACAGGAGCCCACCUGUAUAUUGAUUACAGGGCGGCGUGUACCUGUAUAAAGGGAAGCCGGGUUUUCUCGUUGGAUUAUUUCCUCCCGAGCUUCUGGUGCGAUACAGCGGUAGACGCUGGCUUGUUGGUUAAAUUACUGAGGCGAUCAGGUCAUGUGAUUGCUACAGCCGUGGUGAGGAGACGCGUGAGUGCAUCCGCCGUGCAGUACAGUGCCUCCAAGUUCUGGGGUAAGCCGGUUAUUUUAUAGCUGCUAGUUUUGUAAAUUAAAGAAGAUUAAGGUUAGUUUUGCCUUUUCUUAUUUGUAGGGUUUGAUUGCUGCCGUGCCCUCUCGGGGACCAACCGCCUGCUUUGGUUACGUAGAGAGUCGGGCGCCUGCUCUGCUGCUGUCUUGUUUUGUUGAUCUUGUUUGUUUGAUUUUGUUUUGCCCUGUUUUGUUUUGUGUUGUUUUGGUUAUAUUACGGUUAAUCUGUCGGCGGCCCGGUUUUUCCUUGUAGCUUGCCUUGCCACGCCCUCUUGGACUAUCGUUCGCUCCAGCUUUUUGUGGCUGGCCGGGGCGAUUCUCGGCUGUAUAUUGGGCUGGUUAUACAAACUGGUACUGCCUCUCCCCUUUCUCCCAGCUGUGGGAAGUUGUGUGAGACCGAGCAGACCAAGGACAAUCGGACCCAGCACCAGCUGUGGGCUGGUUCGCCGAGCGAAAGUAUUUCUAACCAGUGCUCUGUGGUGUAUAUCUGGGUGUGUUGUAUCACAGACUUUGGUUUUCCUUUAAUUGUUUCUUUUUUUUGUUUUGUAGGUUGAGAGCCUGUUUGUGUCCCAUGUUUUUCACCUUUUAAUGUGUAUGUUCUGUAUUUUUAUUGUAGUGGACGGAGGAUCUACCAGCGGCUGUGGGACCGUAGGUGGUGGGUCGUUUUCCACGCUUCUUUUGUUGUACAGCACCAGGUGAAAAGACUGUAGUAGGUUUCCUUUGUGUGGUUGUGCUGACCCCUGUGAAUUCCCCACAUGCGGGAAUCUCAACUGCAUAAUUUGUGGUAGUGGGGGACUGCGUUCGUGCUCUCCCCUCACUCUUGUGUCCAAAAGCAAAGAUCCAUGUGUCUGCUCUUCUCUCCGUCUGGCCUUUGAACUGGGACAAAAUGCAAUGGCGUGCUCACCGUCACUGGAUUCAGGCAUUAUGCGUGCUAGGCACCAUCAGCCAGAGUGCUGCAUGUGGAAAGGGGACCCCUGUCUCCCACACUGCCAACUCAUACUUACCUGGCAGGGGGAUACCAUGAUCACGAAGGUGGUUCGCCCAGGGCGAGGCUCAGCCAUUGCACUGCGGUUGUGCUGACCCCUGUGAAUUCCCCACAUGCGGGAAUCUCAACUGCAUAAUUUGUGGUAGUGGGGGACUGCGUUCGCGCUCUCCCCUCACUCUUGUGUCCAAUAGCAAAUGUAGACGGAGGGGCUACUCGCUUUUCCUUUCUCUUUCGCCCCCACUUGCGCUACUGCUUUCUCUCUCUCUCGCUCUCCUGUGCUUGCUCCCGCUCCGCGCUUACAGGAGUCCACCUGUAUAUUGAUUACAGGGCGGCGUGUACCUGUAUAAAGGGAAGCCGGGUUUCUCGUUGGAUUAUUUCCUCCCGAGCUUCUGGUGCGAUACAGCGGUAGACGCUGGCUUGUUGGUUAAAUUACUGAGGUGAUCAGGUCAUGUGAUUGCUACAGGUAGGUCUCCCCUUCGAUUUCUGAUUUCUCCCUAACGUCGGCAAUUAGUAGUUAUAUUUUUGCGGCCCGCUACAGCGCGGCUGUUUUUCUUUCCUUUGCUCCAGCCGUGGUGAGGAGACGCGUGAGUGCAUCCGCCGUGCAGUACAGUGCCUCCAAGUUCUGGGGUAAGCCGCUUAUUUUAUAGCUGCUAGUUUUGUAAAUUAAAGAAGAUUAAGGUUAGUUUUGCCUUUUUCUUAUUUGUAGGGUUUGAUUGCUGCCGUGCCCUCUCGGGGACCAACCGCCUGCUUUGGUUACGUAGAGAGUCGGGCGCCUGCUCUGCUGCUGUCUUGUUUUGUUGAUCUUGUUUGUUUGAUUUUGUUUUGCCCUCUUUUGUUUUGUGUUGUUUUGGUUAUAUUACGGUUAAUCUGUCGGCGGCCCGGUUUUUCCUUGUAGCUUGCCUUGCCACGCCCUCUUGGACUAUCGUUCGCUCCAGCUUUUUGUGGCUGGCCGGGGCGAUUCUCGGCUGUAUAUUGGGCUGGUUAUACAAACUGGUACUGCCUCUCCCCUUUCUCCCAGCUGUGGGAAGUUGUGUGAGACCGAGCAGACCAAGGACAAUCGGACCCAGCACCAGCUGUGGGCUGGUUCGCCGAGCGAAAGUAUUUCUAACCAGUGCUCUGUGGUGUAUAUCUGGGUGUGUUGUAUCACAGACUUUGGUUUUCCUUUAAUUGUUUCUUUUUUUUGUUUUGUAGGUUGAGAGCCUGUUUGUGUCCCAUGUUUUUCACCUUUUAAUGUGUAUGUUCUGUAUUUUUAUUGUAGUGGACGGAGGAUCUACCAGCGGCUGUGGGACCGUAGGUGGUGGGUCGUUUUCCACGCUUCUUUUGUUGUACAGCACCAGGUGAAAAGACUGUAGUAGGUUUCCUUUGUGUGGUUGUGCUGACCCCUGUGAAUUCCCCACAUGCGGGAAUCUCAACUGCAUAAUUUGUGGUAGUGGGGGACUGCGUUCGUGCUCUCCCCUCACUCUUGUGUCCAAAAGCAAAGAUCCAUGUGUCUGCUCUUCUCUCCGUCUGGCCU
ensembl:lncRNA